rnacentral:rRNA from 1 species
UGGGAGCAGUCUGAUCAGCAUGCCGCGUGUGUGAUGACCGCCUUCGGGUCGUAAACUUUUUCUGUACGGAAGAAAAUGCAGGUACGUGUAUCCCCAUGCUUGACCUUUACCACAGAAGAAGCACCGGCUAACUCCCUGCCAGCACCCUCGGUCAUACGAAGGGUGCGAGCGUUAAUCGGAAUCACUGGGCGUAAAGAGCACGUAGGCAGUUAAAUAAGUCUGAUGUGUUUUCCCUGGGCUCAACCUAUGAAUGGUGUUGGAAACUGGAUAACUUGAGUAUGUUAUAGGAAGGUGGAAUUUUCUAUGUAGCCAUGAAAUGCAUAUAUCUUGAAAGGAACAUCGAUAGCGAAGGCUACCUUCUUGGACGAUACUGACAAUCACGUGCGAAAGCGUGGGGAGCAAAAAUGAAUACCCUCCCUGGCCAUCCACGCCCUAAACAAUACCAACUAGGCGUUGGG